UUUGUAAUAGUUUAUUUAAAACGUUGAUUUGUGGUGUCAAAAAAGAUUACUCUUAUCUUACUAAA
rnacentral:tRNA from 1 species